UCUGAAAUUCCGGGCUUGUUAGAUGAGUUUAACAUCAGACUAGGUACAACAGAAGACUGGUUGAGCAAACUUAAAGACAGAUUCAGGCACAGAGAAAUCAAAGGAGUGGGUUUGUACAAGCCUGGAGAUUUUCCAGAUGAAUGUGGUGUGUUCAGAGAUGGACCUGGAGUGAUGGCAGAGCCGGGACUGGAGAGUGGUGACUGAGAUCGUGAGGGAUAUGAGGCAUGGUGAAGUCUCUCAGAGAAGAAAGAGGUCCUUGAUUCUAUCUCUUCGGGGCUGAUCCACCGAAAUGGAAGAGGAUCUCAGAAUUUGUCAACUUUAUCCCACCUGGUGAAGUUUUCAAUGGGAACAAAGAUCUCUUUCUUCUAUCAUGGACAAACUCAUGUCCCAACCAUGUUCGGACCCCAAUCCAAAGAAUUCGAAACAGUAGCACUUGUAUCCCCAAGAAGCCAAAAGGAAGCAGAAGGACCCAGCACACUGGCAGCGAGGAGCUUUCUAUAACAGAUCCUUGAGAAGAAAAGAGAAAAAGGCCUUUAGAGCAUCAUGCAGAACGACAACUAUGUCAGGGCAGCCAUGACAUUAAUAUUUGGGGGUAACUAGUGGUUCUUCUACUGAACAAGAGGAACAGCUCAUUCUCUCUGAUGAGAAUAUUAGAAUCAGGCUCAGAAGUAGACUCACUGACGAAAGAGAGAAUUUAAUGCCACCAAGCAAAACUUGUGCCACUCUCAUUUUCCCAACUGUAUAUGCCCUCUUUGACAAAUAUGCCGUUCUUUUCUCAACAGCUCUCUGUUCAAAUCGUAUGCUAGCUCUUUAUCAAUGGAAUAAAUGAAUUUCAUGCUUCAAGGGGAAAAAAGGAAGCUGCAAGAAGAAUUGAAAUGUUUAAGAACUGCUUUUGAAAGGAUUAUAUACAUACUUACAUGCACUCACUUUUAAUGAGGAAAUAUAAAACGUGUUCUCCACUUGUUAUUUCUCUGACAUUAAGAUCUCUCUCCUCCUGCCUUUUCCUCUCCCUCCUUCCCUCUCCCUCCCACCCUCUCCUCUCUGUCUCUCCCUCCACCACCACUCUCCGUUUUCAGCUAAAAUGUCAGAAUCUACAUAACUAAAACAUAACCACCGCAUGCAAUGAUAAAUGAGACCAAACAGCCCUGGUUUGAGGAAUCUGGGGCAGGGCCAUUGGUUGGCACCACCUUUGUUAUACCAGAGACGGAACAAGGUAUCAGCCCCAUGAAGAGAUGCCCUUGAGAUUUCCAGGUGCACUGGAGCAGGAGAAGCUGCCACUGGGUGCGGGACGGCAUGGUAGGAGAGAGGAGGGGAAGUAAACACGCCCCAUGGCUUUCCCCCCUUGAGCUCUGACAGAGCUAUGGGGAACCAUUCUCUCCACCCAGUGCCCCAGAUGCAAGGACUGGUGUGAGCCAAGCACCCCACCCCCACCCCACCUCCCUCUGAGCUAGGUCUGGCUCCUCACCUUGCCUGCUUCCCAAGCCCUGCAUACCCUGUCCCCAAGCCAGGCUCCCUCUGCCUGACAGCAGCUGGUCUGGCCCCAGGCUCUCCCAACCCAGGGGGCAGCUCCUUGGAGCAAAAUGCACAAGAGCAGGCGAGCCAAAGAAAGUGAUCGGUGUAAUUAUUUCUGUUUGAAUAGGUUUACUCCUUUUUUUGCUGAAAACCCAGACUGUGGGCUGUGUCAUCAAGAGCCAAGGGAUGCGGGUUGUUCAUCCUGUCUUUAAGGCAGUAAUGACGUGUCCCUCGCUAGGAAGCAAGGACGCAGUAUGGAUCAGGGGUGGGGGGAAGAAGCCGAGACUGGCAGGGAUGCAAAGGAGACACACAGGCAGAGCUAGAGGAGAGGAGUGCAGAGAGAGGGAAAUAAAACCA